GUUUGGGUAACUCAGUAUGUGUAGUUGUAUAUACUGGACUUGGGUCAGGUUGGUUUCAGAUGUAUAUUCCAAAUUUUAAAAAGUAUGGCACCAUGAAGUUGGGUAUGAAGAUCUUUACAAACAAUUCCAAGACUCUGCAAGGAAGACAGCCCACACAUGACUUUUUCCUUCAUAAGACAUGUUACAAUCCAUCUGUAAUAAUAGUAUUCUAUUUGUUUGUUUCUCAUUGUUUUCCUGUUUCCCCUGAUGUGGGAAACAAAGGCAGAAGAAAAAAUUAAAUUGCCUUACAACUUAGAGCCCACUGACAAGUCCUUGAUACAGGCAGAGUGACCUUCCUCUAGGAACGCAGUUGCCUCGGUGAUGAUGAUGACACUUUGCUAAGGGCAAAAGGCAACCUUACUUUAACAUUAUCCUAACCCCUGGGAUCCUGUAAAUCUACUUUAACAUAUAAAAGCUCCUUUGGAAAUUCCUUUAUCUCUUCCCCCCAAGAUAUAUGCUGGCAAUCAUUCUCCAAGCUUAUGGCCUCCUGAAAUACAUCUGAAGUGUCUCAUUGGUGAGGGAGCGUGGGGCAAGCUGAGGGCAAAGCACGGGCUAACUGCACCACCACCUCCGAGGUGGGGUUUGUGUGAUAGUCCUCGGACACUCCUGGCUACCCAAGAACAAAGGAAAGGGGUUUAAGUGCUUGCCAGGGUGAUGUGGGAAACAAAGGCAAAUGAAAAAUGAAAUUCCCUUACUGCCUACAGCCCAUUGAGAAGUUCUUGAAACAGGAAGAGUGACCUCUCUCUGGGAGCUCAGCAGCCUUGAUGGUGACACUUUGCUAGGGGCAAAAGGGAAUCUUGGCUUAACAUUAUCCUGACCCCCCAUGAUCCUGGCCUGCCUUUACUGCCAUGUACCACUCCAGACAGCAUGCAGAGACAGCGGAGAGUAAUAAUAAACAUCAGAGGUAUUUUGCAAUUCAUGGCUGACCCAUGCUGACCCUUUAUUUAAUUAAAUCUUUCACUUGUGAAUGAA